GCAAGUCGAACGAAAUCUUCGGAUUUAGUGGCGGACGGGUGAGUAACACGUGAGAAUCUACCUUAAAGUCGGGGAUAACAGUGGGAAACUACUGCUAAUACCGGAUAAGCCGCAAGGUGAAAGAUUAAUUGCUUUGAGAGGAGCUCGCGUCUGAUUAGCUAGAUGGAGAGGUAAAAGCUCACCAUGGCAACGAUCAGUAGCUGGUCUGAGAGGAUGAUC
rnacentral:rRNA from 1 species